rnacentral:rRNA from 1 species
AUGAACGCUAGCGGCAGGCCUAACACAUGCAAGUCGAACGGUAACAGGAAAAAGCUUGCUUUUUUGCUGACGAGUGGCGCACGGGUGCGUAACGCGUAUACAAUCUACCUUUUACAGGGGGAUAGCCUUUAGAAAUGAAGAUUAAUACCCCAUAGUAUAUAUAGAUGGCAUCAUUUAUAUAUUAAAGUUUCGGCGGUAAAAGAUGAGUAUGCGUUCUAUUAGCUAGUAGGUGUGGUAACGGCACACCUAGGCAACGAUAGAUAGGGGCCCUGAGAGGGGGAUCCCCCACACUGGUACUGAGACACGGACCAGACUCCUACGGGAGGCAGCAGUGAGGAAUAUUGGACAAUGGGCGAGAGCCUGAUCCAGCCAUGCCGCGUGCAGGAAGACUGCCCUAUGGGUUGUAAACUGCUUUUAUACGGGAAGAAACCCACCUACGUGUAGGUGGCUGACGGUACCGUAAGAAUAAGCAUCGGCUAACUCCGUGCCAGCAGCCGCGGUAAUACGGAGGAUGCAAGCGUUAUCCGGAAUCAUUGGGUUUAAAGGGUCCGUAGGCGGAUUAAUAAGUCAGAGGUGAAAUCCUGCAGCUCAACUGUUGAACUGCCUUUGAUACUGGUUGUCUUGAGUUAUUGUGAAGUGGUUAGAAUAUGUAGUGUAGCGGUGAAAUGCAUAGAUAUUACAUAGAAUACCGAUUGCGAAGGCAGAUCACUAACAAUAUACUGACGCUGAUGGACGAAAGCGUGGGGAGCGAACAGGAUUAGAUACCCUGGUAGUCCACGCCGUAAACGAUGGUCACUAGCUGUUCGGUUUUUAACUGAGUGGCUAAGCGAAAGUGAUAAGUGACCCACCUGGGGAGUACGUUCGCAAGAAUGAAACUCAAAGGAAUUGACGGGGGCCCGCACAAGCGGUGGAGCAUGUGGUUUAAUUCGAUGAUACGCGAGGAACCUUACCAGGGCUUAAAUGGGAGAUGACAGGAGCAGAGACGCUCUUUUCUUCGGACAUCUUUCAAGGUGCUGCAUGGUUGUCGUCAGCUCGUGCCGUGAGGUGUCAGGUUAAGUCCUAUAACGAGCGCAACCCCUACCCUUAGUUGCCAGCAUGUAAAGAUGGGGACUCCAACGGGACUGCCGGUGCAAACCGUGAGGAAGGUGGGGAUGACGUCAAAUCAUCACGGCCCUUACGUCCUGGGCUACACACGUGCUACAAUGGCCGGGACAGAGGGAAGCUACCCUGCAAAGGGAUGCGGAUCUAUAAAGCCGGUCACAGUUCGGAUCGGGGUCUGCAACUCGACCCCGUGAAGCUGGAAUCGCUAGUAAUCGGAUAUCAGCCAUGAUCCGGUGAAUACGUUCCCGGGCCUUGUACACACCGCCCGUCAAGCCAUGGAAGCCGGGGGUGCCUGAAGUCUGUAACCGCAAGGAGCGGCCUAGGGCAAAACUGGUAACUAGGGCUA